AAUUUUUUCUAGUGGCCGGGCAGAGGUGUUUCUUACCUAUCUACUCGUUGUUUGUUUAAAGGACAAACCAGGCUUUGACGGGUACGGGGAAUCAGUGUUCGAUUCCGGAGAGGGAGCCUGAGAAAUCGCUACCACAUCCAAGGACGGCAGCAGGCGCGCAAAUUACCCAAUCCCAAUACGGGGAGGUAGUGACAAGCUAUAGUGUCUCCACACCCUUAGGUGGGGACGUAUUAUCAUCUGAUAAUUUUCCAUGAUUUGGGUGUAGAUAACCCUUAGAGCAGCCAUUGGAGGAAAAGUCUGGUGCCAGCACCCGCGGUAAUUCCAGCUCCAAGAGCGUAUAUUAAUACUGCUGUAGUUAAAACGCCCGUAGUAUACCUAAGAGUGCGCAUGUAGUAAUUAGUUCUAUCAAGAGAUGGUUGGGAAGAGUUUAUAACCCUUUUUUGCCUACUUUUGGUAAACUUCAGUCGGGCAGGGCCUUACGGUUCUCGUCUGACAGUUGCUGCGUGUACACUUGUCCACGGUUCAUCCGUGAGGCCCCUUUGGGUUGCAACUGUAAAUAAAUCGUUGUGCUUAAAGCGGGCUAUGAUACUCUGCCAGAGCGAUUUAGCAUGGGACUGCAGAGUAGCUGUAUUUGAGUGAAACCUGGACCUCGGUUUGGGCGUAGCUUGGUACAGCGCUUGUAAUGGAGCUCAGGGUGAGGCCCCGGGUACCAUGAGGCUAGAGGUGAAAGUCUGAGACCCUCAUGUGACCAACUGAGGCGAAAGCUGUCGUGGGCCACCACAAGCUCGUCUAUCAGGGACGAAAGUUGGGGGAUCGAAGACGAUUAGAUACCGUCGUAGUCCCAACUAUAAACGAUACCAACCGAGUAGUUGGGAAGACACUAUCCCAGCGAUCUUCUCAGAACUCAAGGGAAACCUUAGGUCUUUGGGUUCUGGGGGGAGUACAGUCGCAAGACCGAAACUUAAAGGAAUUGACGGAAAGGCACCACCAGGAGUGGAGUCUGCGGCUUAAUUCGACUCAACACGGGGAAACUCACCAGGUCAGGACACAAGUUUGAUUGACAGGUUAAUAGCCCUUUCUUGAUUGUGUGGUGGGUAGUGCAUGGCCGUUUCCAGUUCGUGGAGUGAUCUGUCUUGUUAAUUCAGAUAACGAACGAGACCUAAGCCUUUAACUAGCCGUAGGCCCUUUCCUUCGGGGAAGGGUUAGUUUAUCGGGACUGGCUUUUGGCCUUUUCCAAAACCUACGUGACUUUUGUCAGCUUCUUAAAGGGACUUCAUUCGUUCUAGUAGAAUGAGGAAGAUUUAGGCCAUAACAGGUCUGUGAUGCUCUUAGAUGUCCUGGGCUGCACGCGUACUACAAUAACGGUACCAGCGAGCGCUAUGGUUUUAUAACCCCUUAUCCUAAUAGGAUUGGGAAAACUUUUCAAACACCGUUAUGACAGGGAUCGAGGAUUGGAACAUCCUCGUGAACGAGGAAUUCCUAGUAAGCGUGGUUCAUCAUACCACAUUGAUUACGUCCCUGCCUUUUGUACACACCGCCCGUCGCUCCUACCGAUGGGACGAAGAGAUGAACCUGGCGGACCGAGCCGCAAGGCAAGGGAAACCAGUUAAAUCCCUUCGUCUGUAGGAAGGAAAAGUCGUAACAAGGUC
rnacentral:rRNA from 1 species